CCAGUGAGAUCCGGUCUCGGCCGCCACGGUUGCCUGGGGCUACAAACGAAAUGAAGCUGAGAAAUGCACCCGCAGAGAGAUGAAGAAACUGAGUCCUGGAGUGGUUAAAUGACGAGGUUAUAUGGAACGUGAGAAGCAGAAUGAGGAUUUGACCUCAGGUCUUCUGACCCCAAGCUCAGUGCGCCAUCACCUGCUCCAGAAAGCUCAGCAGAGACAAGAUUCACUGUCACACCACAAGACUGAGUCAUGCCAAUUUAGGGAAGGGGAGUCAGAUGACAAAAUGGGCUUCUUCCCCAAGAAAGGAUGCUCCUAGAGUCAGCACCCAAGGAGACCAUGCCAAGAAGACAAGGAAUGAGCCAAGGAGCAGAAGCCAAUUUCAAGGUGUAUCUGGGAACAGGCAUGCAAGCACGGUAUCAUGGAAGGACCUGAGACUUGGGUCUGAGUCCUUGCUUUGUCACUUACUAUGUGAUCUUGGGCCUCACUGUUCUCUUUUGGCAAAAUGGGAACAAUAAUAUUUACCCUCCCUAUUUUGGUGGAAUGUUGUAAGGAUUAUAGGAUUUAGAGUUGAAAGGAGCCUUUGAGGUCAUGUAAUCCAAUCCCUUCAUUUUUUUGGGGGGGGGGGGAGGAAACAAGUGUAGAGAGGCCAGGUGUCUGCCAAGGUCACAGUUCAAUCAGGAGUCCACCCAGACCCUCUGACUCUAAGCCAAAGUGAUCUUCACAUGAAACUGGGGGAAAAUCAUCUUAUUUCUCUGAACCCCACUUUCUUUAAAUGUAAAAUGGGAAUAAUAAUGCUUGUUUUAUCUCUGUCUUGGGGUUUUUGUGAAGAUCAAAGGCGAUAGAAGAGAUAAAAUGUUUUGUACCUGCAAAAUGGCCUAUGAGCUAACUUCCUCAUGAGGAGGUGGGCAGGAAAAGGAGAGAAAACCAGAGAAGUAGAAAUUGGUCAAAUUAACUAAUUCCCCUGGCAGCUAUAGUGCCCAUGUAGUUCGUUAAUGCUCAACACGUAUCUGGGAACCUCCUUUCUCAGGACUCAUCAUAGCCUCCACUGACAAGCAAGAGUUACUUUUUUUUUUAAAGCAAACCCUUACCUUCCAUCUUAGAGUCAAUACUGUGUGUUGGUUCCAAGGCAGAAGAGUGGUAAGGGCUAGGCAGUGGGGGUCAGGUGACUUGCCCAGGGUCACCCAGCUAGGGCAAGAGCUACUUAUUGAAGGGAAUGGAAUCUUUCUCCUUCUCUCCUCUCAUUUGAGUGACUUGGACAAAAACUAGUGCCUGGUUGAAAACGGGCAUGAAUAGACAUGGGGCUGGUGGUUAGCAGAUAAUAGAGAAAACAAGAAAAAUGGAAAAUUAUUGGGAAGAGGGAAAUGAUGGCAUUUGGAGACCUGUUUUGUUCUCAUCCUGGAAGAGGGAGAUGGCACCUAACAGUGAGAUGACUCAAGUGACUCAAGCUUGCUUUGCUUGGGAAACUGUAUGGGAUGUGGAGGUGAUGAGAACUGCCAUGGGGCAGGAAGGUAGAGAGAAAUUGCAGAGAGCGAGAGCUUGUCAUAGAUCUCUGCCAAUGGAAUUCCUAUAUUUGGACUGUGAGUGGCCACAGAGAUUGGUAUUAGGGAAUCUUUGGGUCAAAGGGUCAUUUAGUAAAGCAUUUGUUUUGUUUUAUUAAAAAUAUUUUCGGGAACAGUAUGACUGUGUUGAGGAUUUGUUCUCAGUGCAUUAGGGAAGCACAUCUCUGUUUUCUGGGAGAGAAUCUGAGUCAAAAGAAGUGAGAAGAUCCUCCAGAGCAUACCAGGGCACCUGUAACGGACCCUCCUCAUUUCCUCCAUCCUCUGCAUGGCACUGGUCUCCAAGGGAGUUAGUUCUUAAUGACGUUAACCCCGGAGGGUUCCCGUGUCCUUAAGUCUGACUGGGGUGAGGCUGAGUCUCUUACCUUCAGGCAUAGUCCUAUAGCCUGGAUGUUCUGCAGUGACUCCAUGGUUUCUUUGACGAGUGCUAUGAUCAAGACAGAAAACAAACACAUCCAGUUGUUAUCACACCCACAGAUCCUGAGGUGCCUGGACAUUUUGUACUGUGCUGAACACAAACAUCACGCCUUGGCUUCCGCUACAAGUCUGCAAGUCCUUUGCAGGAUACCUGCAUUCCAGCAGCACUUCCCUACUCAGAACCCUUCAGCUACAAACUUCCUCAGCUGUCUGGCUCCAGGCCUGCAAGCCUCAUCUACUUUGCCUCUGAAGAUUUUUAGCUUCCUUCAAAGCUCAGUCAAGGGCCGUGUCCUAGAGGAGGCCAGUUAUCAGGGCACUUGGCCUCUUGACCAUGUAUUUACUUCUCUGGGUACAUUCCUUUAACCCUCUAAGAAUGUACAUUUUUUGGGGGAAGGGACACCUUUACCUUGUUUGGUGCCUUGCACACAGUUGGUGCUUAAUAAAUGUAUAAUGAACUAAA